rnacentral:lncRNA from 1 species
GUCUGAAGUAAUGAAUUUUUUUGUUCAUAUCAAUGUUUUUUGUCAGGGAAAGAAGAUAAUGUUUGAGAAACUUGCCUAGCAUUCAUUGUCCUUUACCAAAAACAGAAUAGGUAUCAUCAACACCCUAUUUUUACAAAAAGCAACAACAUUUUUAAAAGAGCUGACAUUGUCAACAUAAUUAUCAAUGAAACCUUUUAUAAACAACACUACAAG